rnacentral:rRNA from 1 species
UGAGGAAUUUUCUGCAAUGGGCGAAAGCCUGACAGAGCAAUACCGCGUGAGGGAGGAAGGCCUACGGGUUGUAAACCUCUUUUCUCAAGGAGGAAGAACUGACGUUACUUGAGGAAUAAGCAUCGGCUAACUCCUGUGCCAGCAGCCGCGGUAAUACAGGGGAUGCAAGCGUUAUCCGGAAUCAUUGGGCGUAAAGCGUCUGCAGGUGGAAGGAUCAGUCUUUUGUUAAAGCUUCAGGCUUAACCUGGAAUCUGCAAAAGAAACUAUUUUUCUAGAGUCUGGUAGAGGGAAAGGGAAUUUCCAGUGGAGCGGUGAAAUGCGUAGAUAUUGGAAAGAACACCAACAGCGAAGGCACUUUCCUGGGCCAUGACUGACACUCAGAGACGAAAGCUAGGGUAGCAAACAGGAUUAGAGACCCUGGUAGUCCUAGCUGUAAACGAUGGAUACUAGAUGUUGUAUCCUUUAGAGGACGCAGUGUCGUAGCUAACGCGUUAAGUAUCCCGCCUGGGAAGUAUGCUCGCAAGAGUG